rnacentral:rRNA from 1 species
AUACGGAGGGUGCAAGCGUUAUCCGGAAUCAUUGGGUUUAAAGGGUCCGCAGGCGGAUUAAUAAGUCAGUGGUGAAAUCCUCUCGCUCAACGAGAGAACUGCCAUUGAAACUGUUAGUCUUGAAUUCGGUCGAAGUAGGCGGAAUGUGUCAUGUAGCGGUGAAAUGCAUAGAUAUGAAACAGAACACCGAUAGCGAAGGCAGCUUACUAGACCUGGAUUGACGCUCAUGGACGAAAGCGUGGGGAGCGAACAGGAUUAGAAACCCCAGUAGUCC